GCAAGUCGAACGGUAGAGGGGGCAACCCCUCGAGAGUGGCGAACGGCUGAGUAAUAUAUCGGAACGUGCCCAGUCGUGGGGGAUAACGUAGCGAAAGUUACGCUAAUACCGCAUACGAUCUACGGAUGAAAGCGGGGGAUCGCAAGACCUCGCGCGAUUGGAGCGGCCGAUAUCAGAUUAGGUAGUUGGUGGGGUAAAGGCUCACCAAGCCAACGAUCUGUAGCUGGUCUGAGAGGACGACCAGCCACACUGGAACUGAGACACGGUCCAGACUCCUACGGGAGGCAGCAGUGGGGAAUUUUGGACAAUGGACGCAAGUCUGAUCCAGCCAUUCCGCGUGCAGGAUGAAGGCCCUCGGGUUGUAAACUGCUUUUGUACGGAACGAAAAGGUUUCCAUUAAUACUGGGAGCUCAUGACGGUACCGUAAGAAUAAGCACCGGCUAACUACGUGCCAGCAGCCGCGGUAAUACGUAGGGUGCAAGCGUUAAUCGGAAUUACUGGGCGUAAAGCGUGCGCAGGCGGUUAUGUAAGACAGAGGUGAAAUCCCCGGGCUCAACCUGGGAACUGCCUUUGUGACUGCAUAGCUAGAGUACGGUAGAGGGGGAUGGAAUUCCGCGUGUAGCAGUGAAAUGCGUAGAUAUGCGGAGGAACACCGAUGGCGAAGGCAAUCCCCUGGACCUGUACUGACGCUCAUGCACGAAAGCGUGGGGAGCAAACAGGAUUAGAUACCCUGGUAGUCCACGCCCUAAACGAUGUCAACUGGUUGUUGGGUCUUCACUGACUCAGUAACGAAGCUAACGCGUGAAGUUGACCGCCUGGGGAGUACGGCC
rnacentral:rRNA from 1 species